rnacentral:rRNA from 1 species
UAGGGAAUCUUCGGCAUUGGACGGAAGUCUGACCGAGCAACGCCGCGUGAGUGAAGAAGGUUUUCGGAUCGUAAAGCUCUGUUGUAAGAGAAGAACGAGUGUGAGAGUGGAAAGUUCACACUGUGACGGUAUCUUACCAGAAAGGGACGGCUAACUACGUGCCAGCAGCCGCGGUAAUACGUAGGUCCCGAGCGUUGUCCGGAUUUAUUGGGCGUAAAGCGAGCGCAGGCGGUUAGAUAAGUCUGAAGUUAAAGGCUGUGGCUUAACCAUAGUACGCUUUGGAAACUGUUUAACUUGAGUGCAAGAGGGGAGAGUGGAAUUCCAUGUGUAGCGGUGAAAUGCGUAGAUAUAUGGAGGAACACCGGUGGCGAAAGCGGCUCUCUGGCUUGUAACUGACGCUGAGGCUCGAAAGCGUGGGGAGCAAACAGGAUUAGAUACCCUGGUAGUCCACGCCGUAAACGAUGAGUGCUAGGUGUUAGACCCUUUCCGGGGUUUAGUGCCGUAGCUAACGCAUUAAGCACUCCGCCUGGGGAGUACGACCGCAAGGUUG